ACAACAUAGUGGUAAAGAGUAGGUUUUUGUGGGGAAACUGCCAGGGUGGCAGGGGAAGAAGCACUCAGACAUGGAGCUUUAAAGAGUGGACCUAUGUCUAGAAAUGAGGCACAAAAGCAAGUCUGGAUGAGCACCUUCUUUCUAAGCUGAGCUUACCUAUACCUGACAGAAAUUGAUUACCAUUUCCAUAUAACUUACUACAUUUAUAUCCUUAUUACAGUGAAGAGCUCAAGGUGUCAUUCACCUCCGUAUUAGCCUCACAACAACCCUUUGUGGCAAGUUAGGCUAUGGGGUGGUGAGGUUCAUGGCUGAAUGGGAAUUUGACCUGUAUUCUCCUCAGUCCUAGUCCAGCACUACACUGCAAUGAUACCUGUUCGGUAGACUUCAGCCAGAGUGAUUCAAGGGCCUGACUAUAAGAACGCAUGUGUCUCUGGCUCCUUAGCUCUACCUAUGCAGGGGAGUAUUCAAGAAUAUGAUUUCUCCCCCGGAAGUGUUACACUUCAAAAUUCUAUCUGUUGUUUUGAAAAGAAGCAUCAAGAGAACCUGAACAGCCUUUACCAAAGGUGUCAUGGACUUUGAGGAAGCACGAACUCAGGGCAAAAAGGAGAAAUGAGCUAAGAGCAAGACAUGUUUGGGAAACCCGCACUGUGAUCAACUCCCAUCCAGAAACCUAUGUCCCCGCUGUGGAAGGAUGUGUGGAUCCAGAAUUGGCCUCCACAGUCACUUACGGACUCACUGUUAAGACUGUGUUCAUGGAAGACAAUCUUACUUGGCUACGAGUGAUUGCCAAAGAAGAAAGAAAACCCUCUUAAGCUUCACCAUGCAGAGAAUAAACAAUCACAACUCA